GGAGGGUACAGCUCAGUGGUAGAGUGCAUGCUUAACAUGCAUGAGGUCCUGGGUUCAAUCCCCAGUCCCUCCA
rnacentral:tRNA from 1 species